GUCAGUGUGGUGCAGUGGUUUGAGUGUUGGGCUGCAACACUGGAGAUCAGAGUUCGAAUCCCUGCUUGGCCA